UUGAGCAGCCACGUUCCUGAGAAGUGGGAACUAUGGAGACCCAUGUUUGUGCCACAAUUAGCUUUCUACUGCCCUCUAGUGGCCAUUUAAGGAAAUGGAAGAAAACAGGGAAUAUCUCAACUGUCUGUCAAAUGAAAUAGCAGCAGUAGUUAAGCAGUCAUAGUGGAGAAAUUGAACAAGAAUAUAAUAAUCAUCACACCAUAGCAUUGCCUAAUUGGUCACUUUUAUUUCAGUUAUAUUGUUAACCUCAAACAUGAAAGGAUGUUGACUGACUUGGUGACUUUAGAGCAAAUCUAUGUGUAAAACUGAGGCUAUAUUUGCUCUCGGGGGCUCCGAUGUGGCGCAUCUCUGAGGUCAUGACUGCUGAGCCUGUUUGCUCUUUAUUAAUUUGCCACUUCCUUUUCAGCUUCUGCAUUCAUGCAGUGCAUGCACCUUUCUAAAAGGUAAAUGAUGUGCACAAGUGCACUGGUGUGCUAAUUCUGAUCAAAUUAACUAGUGCAUUACUUAGUUUGGUUGAGAGGUAAGAUGCUAUUGGUAUUAUUUAUACACAUUCUGACAAUACCAUGCUAGUGAACCAACUACAACAAUAAAAUGAUUGUAAAACAACAAUAAGUUUACAACAAUAGUAUAAAUAAAAAAUAAGAAAUAAAAUUAGUAUGUUUCAUACGGUUAACUGUGCUUUUGUGUUUGUUUGCAGGAAGUUACUUCUGUUCUUGGAACAAUACAGGUGUACUGUACAAGCCAGGAAGAGCAUGUUGCAUCCAUUCACAACAGUGGGGAGGCAAUGUUUGUUCACAAUUUUUGCAGGAAACAAACAGAGAUGAUUUCAAUCUCUAAGGGUGAGCACCAAUGGCUCAGUGUCCUAAUUCAUUUUGAAGUGAAGAUAAAAAAGUUUGUGUUUGUGCUUGUGUGACCAACUGUACAUAUAGGCUCAACUUAAGUGCACGACUACGCCACUUGGGGCCUUUCACACCAAGAUAUGUUGUAAACCCAAGUAUACUUGAUAAGACACACAGAUAAGAUAAGUAACGACAGAGACGUGAUUCCAGUACAAA